rnacentral:misc_RNA from 1 species
GAAAUGCGAUACUUGGUGUGAAUUACAGAAUCCCGUGAACCGUCGAGUAUUUGAACGCAAGUUGCGCCGAGGCCUUUGGGUCGAGGGCACGCCUGCCUGGGCUUCACGCCGGGCAUUGAACCGCACCAACCGCCCUCCUGGGCAGGGUGGGGAUUCAGUGAUUGGCCCCUCGUGCACUCAAGCACGAUGGGCUUAAGAGAGGGCUGACAGUCGGGUCGGCACGACGAGUGAUGGAUUUGGUGCCAACAGGAUGUCGUGUCCCCGGUCGUCGAAGAGCCGGAGACACCCGGUUCGGGCCUGCAGAUGCGCUUUCACCCGGGAGGGCUCACCACCUCGCAACGUGACCCUAGGUCAGGCGGGGACACCCGCUGUGUUUAA